rnacentral:tRNA from 1 species
GGGCCAGUGGUCUAGUCCGGUUAAGACAACGCCCUUACACGGCGUAAAUCCCAGGUUCAAAUCCUGGCUGGCCCA